UGGGGAAUAUUGGACAAUGGGGGCAACCCUGAUCCAGCCAUGCCGCGUGAGUGAUGAAGGCCUUCGGGUUGUAAAGCUCUUUUGGCGGGGGACGAUGAUGACGGUACCCGCAGAAUAAGCCCCGGCUAACUUCGUGCCAGCAGCCGCGGUAAGACGAAGGGGGCUAGCGUUGUUCGGAAUUACUGGGCGUAAAGCGAGUGUAGGCGGUUGCCGUAGUCAGGUGUGAAAGCCUUGAGCUCAACUCAAGAAAUGCACUUGAUACUGGGUGACUAGAGGACCGGAGAGGAUAGUGGAAUUCCCAGUGUAGUGGUGAAAUACGUAGAGAUUGGGAAGAACACCAGUGGCGAAGGCGGCUAUCUGGACGGUUACUGACGCUAAGACUCGAAAGCGUGGGGAGCAAACAGGAUUAGAUACCCUGGUAGUCCACGCCGUAAACGAUGGGUGCUAGACGUUGGCGAGCUUGCUCGUCAGUGUCGCAGCUAACGCGUUAAGCACCCCGCCUGGGGAGUACGGCCGCAAGGUUGAACUUAAAUGAAUUGACGGGGUCAUAGCUGUUUCCU
rnacentral:rRNA from 1 species